AGAGAGUUGAAGUAAGGAAGCAAC
rnacentral:siRNA from 1 species